ACGGACACACACUAACUACGCAGCAAUCCCAACGAAGACGAACACAUCCUCUGCUCAUCAUGGUCAUCAUAUCAACGCUACAAGCUACUACGAUGAUUCCAGGCAACCGGCCAGCUAGCAUAAAAUUCCAUGAACAAAUUUUUUCAUUAGAAUUUCUGGACAAGAAUGAUGGUAACGGUAUUAAUUUGUUUAACAUAAACUUGGCGCUAACAAGUUGAGUGAGAGAGCCACAAAAAAAAAUAAAAUAAAAUACCUAUAUUCGAUCAUAAUUUAUAUGCAUAUGUACUUGUUUUCGGCAUUGUGGCGCUAGACAGGCGACAAUGAAUCGAAAGCAAAAAACGAGAUUGUAAACACCAUCAGCGUCAUCAUUGUCCGUCCCCAUCAACAGCAAGCGGCCAUAACGCCCCAACAAUAUUCGUGAUCUUGACAAAGCUAAGAAAAAAAGGCCGCAAAAAACAUCUCUGCAAAUUUCUUUGCAGAGCCGACAACACAUGUGUUGCCAAACGGCAGUUUGUUUAUGCUAAGAGAUCUUUCACACACCAUAACAUAAUAAAUAGCCGCAGGCAUAGGCUCACCUAUGUAUGUGUGUAUGUAUGUACCACCAUGGUUGUCAUUACCUGCGCCAGUAUAAGAAGGAAAGAGUUACGGUAAAUUUUACAUAAAUAUGCAUAAAUGUUGAGAAGUUGACUGUCUAGCUUGUCUCUCGCUCUCUAACCGUUAGUUAUGACAAAGUGUUUGCAAUUUAAUAACGGUUUAAUUAACUACAAAGAAAACACUCCCGCCGCCCAUCCUAAUGCAUUUCUCCUUCCCUGGUGAAUAUUGUGCUGGCUAUGGUAAGCCUUGCUGUGUUUACGUUUAACUCAACACACCCCUGUGCAGGAAAAACAAAAGAAAAUAAGAAAAACUCCAACGAAAAUCCCAAAAAAGUAAUUAAUGGAUACACUGAGACAAGAAGAGCCAAUACCAACAACUACAACAACAACAUCACCACCCGGUGACGAUGAUGGCGAUGGCGAUGACGACGAUGGUCCAUGAAUUAACUCAUACAGUGUUGUUUGACUCGACAAGCAACGCUGGUGUGUCUGGUUGGCAACUCUCUUGCAAAGUAACACAAAUUAAAUUUUACCGACGGCAUUUGAAUUGAUUUUUUUUUUGUUGCCACAUUUUAAUGGAAAUUCUAAUGGAAAAUUUAAUUGAAACUGUAAAGAGGUGAUUUUGCAGUUUACAUGGAAUCGAUGAUGACUUUCCGCGAGAUCCCAAAGCAAACAAAAAAAACAGGUCAUUUUAGUACAAACUAAUAACCUUUCUUUCAACUAAGAGAGAGAGAUCAACUAAAAAUUCUUCAGAUAUUAGACAUUGAUGUAAUGUUUCCACCAGUAAAAAUGUAAGGAGUGUGAACAUGUGUCAUUAACUUGAGAGGAGAACGCCGAAUGGGCAUGUAGUAAAACACAACAACUGGAUAUAAGAAGAACAAACUAUGAAUAAGUCUCAACAUAUCUCAUUUUCAACACGACAAGUCUAUUACAAAUCCAUUUCUUCCGAUAUACUCAUAUUGUUCCCAAAGAUAUUGAACAUGUAUACAGCUUCAAAGUGUCGCAUUUAUUGCACGUGCCUUGGAAAAUCAUUCAAUAAUGGGAAGUUCUGUUAAUUAUUCGAUAUUGCAAACAACUUUACCUUUGGAUUUAUGAGUCUAAACAUGAGAAUGCUACCUCAAAGUGUAUGACGAUAAUAUAGAAAAGAUAUAUACGUUGAAUUAAACACAAUUUUCGAGAAAUAUUGUUAAUAUUAUAUAUUGAGAAGUUAUUCUUGUUAUUUGUUUAAACUGUUUCAUUUUAUUUAAAAUAGUAUAUGAAGCCAUAUUAAUUUAAUUUUUUGACAAAGU